rnacentral:rRNA from 1 species
CGUAGGGUCCGAGCGCUGUCCGGAAUUAUUGGGCGUAAAGGGCUCGUAGGCGGUUAGUCACGUCGGGAGUGAAAACUCAGGGCUCAACCCUGAGCGUGCUUCCGAUACGGGCUGACUAGAGGUAUGCAGGGGAGAACGGAAUUCCUGGUGUAGCGGUGGAAUGCGCAGAUAUCAGGAGGAACACCGGUGGCGAAGGCGGUUCUCUGGGCAUUACCUGACGCUGAGGAGCGAAAGCAUGGGGAGCGAACAGGAUUAGAUACCCUGGUAGUCCAUGCCGUAAACGUUGGGCGCUAGGUGUGGGGACCUUCCACGGUCUCCGUGCCGCAGCUAACGCAUUAAGCGCCCCGCCUGGGGAGUACGGCCGCAAGGCUA